GCUGGCUAUUCGAGGCGGAAUUCAUGGCAUUAUUUCUUAGCAGCGUUUUUAAAGUAAGCGGCCGCUUACUAGGCAGUUUAAACCUUUAUAGUUGGCUGUUGAGGCCUGGAUUUUUGGCGUUUUCGGCUUUUGUAGGCUUAGCGAUAUGUAUGUAUGUAUGUAUGUAUAUUUAUAUAUUGUUUUAUUUAUUGUUUGUGAAAUUUGUAUCAAUUUAUCUAAACCAAAAUGACGUUUGUGGUCCAAGAAGCUGUAGAAUGUGCAGCCAAUGCGAAAUUAUUUUAGCUUACUUUAUACUGUGAAUUUUUUAUUUUUAUUUUUUUUUAAACAUGGAGUUUCACUGUUUGCCCAGUCGUUGCUCUCAGUGCUGCUCUCAGUGCUGCCCUCUAGCAGGUCAUUAGCGGUACUGAGCAGAUGAGAGGAUGCUUUGUGCAUCAUCUCCUGCUUUAUCUGAAGUGUACAGUGUGGUGGUUAUUAUUCACAUGAGCUGUGUAAAGAUGUUGUGCAACUCAUAACUCCUCAGUAAUGUUAUCAAGUGAGUCUGGAGGAACCUUCCUGUGUUGUUUAGUUUUGUGUGUGUGUGUGUGAGAGAGACAGAUUCCCCAUGGUGGUGGUACAGCAGGCAGCGCUGAUCCCUAACAGCUCCAGGGUCACCACUUAGGUUCUGAACUCUUGUUGCUGUCAGUGUAGAGCUUCACAUGUUCUCUGUCUGGGUCUGCUUUCUCUGGACUCCCGUAUUCCCGUUCUUGCCGCGGUUCGAGAUGACGUUUGUCUGGCUUCAGGUGUUUUAAAGGAAGCCCAUUUUAGUUGCUUGUGACGUAGCGUUAUCUUCCCUAACGACGUGCAGUAAGCAUUGCUGUAACCUGCUCGACUGGUUGCUGUUCCGUGGGAGACGUGCUGCCUGAUACCGGUUCCUAAAGAAGCCCCGUCCCAGUACACCAGUGGCGCUGACCUCUCGCAUCAUGAAGGCACUGGAGAGACUUGCACUAUCAUGUUCCUCCCUCACUGUUAAUACUCAGCGGGGAUGAACCAGGUGUUGUGAAAGUGCACAGUGCGUCAAGCCAGGUUCCUAUUUAUGCGUAUUUGUCUUUGCAUUUUCGCACAGAGGGGGAUCAUGGGUAAAUGUGGCACAAAGAUAUGUGCUAGCGCUCAGUCUGCCCAUGAGCGUGCUAGGCGUCGGUCAGGUGCAUGCUGGUUGGUUGGUGAAAAGGCGUGUCCGAUUGCGUACGGUAGAGGAGGCGGGGCGACUGAGGGCGGCGUGGUGUGGAGGCGGGGUGACUGAGGGCGAAGGGUAGAGGAGGCGGGGUGACUGAGUGAAAUGAAAUGGCGGAUCUGUUUAGGAGGUAAAUGACCUGUGGGAAGUAACUGUUCAUGAAUCUUGGCCCAGAUGCUCCGCAGCCUUCUUCCAGAUGGGAGGAGUGUGAAAUAUUUUCUCCUUUCCAACCCCUAUAAACUACUUCUUCUAAUCUCCAGCAUCCACACGACCGCCGCCAUCGAUAAACGUAGCAUCAUAACAAACAGGUCAUUUAUAAAGAGCAUUUUUUUCUUCCUAUUACAUGUUCAUAUAUAAAGAAUAGCUGUGAGAAUAACUAGGACCAGUUCACUGAAAUAAAUAGCUUAUAUUCUUACACCGUACGGCCAAAAGUAUGUGCCCCUGCCCAGCGCGCACGCAAGCUUGUUGAACGUCACACUCCAGAUUUAUUCCCCGUCUGCUGUAAUAACGCGCUCCAGUCUCCUGGGAACUCGUUCCGAUAGGUUUUGGGGCGUGGCUGUGUGGGAUUUGUGUUCAUUCAGCUACAAGAGCGUUGAGAUCAGACGCUGAUGUUGACGUGAGGAGACUCCAGGUCCAGUUCAUCUCCGAGGCGUUCGGUGGGGUUGAGUGAGGUCAGGGCUCUGUGCAGGACGCUCGAGUUCUUCUACCUUCACACGCCGCGUCUUCGUGGAGCUCAGUCUGCGUACAAGGGCGUCGUGGUGCUGGAACAGGUUUGGGAAUCCCAGCCCUGCCAGCGCCGGUGACUAUGCGGUGUUUCGAUGACGUCCAAAAUGCAAAGUAAUAAAUGUAGCGUCACGGAAAUAGCGUUUAGUCAUAUUGCAGAGUAAAAACAGUUCAACUCCAGCUUAGGAAGUGUUGUGUUUUAUUAAGGAGUCUCCUUAAUCUCCUUGUAUUGUACUUUUUAACAACGGGCGUUAUCGCAAAGCAGCUUUACAGAAAACUCCGGAUAUAGAUUUUAAACGUAGCCCUAAUGAGCGCGCCAGAGGCGACGGUAAAGCGGGGAAGACUCCCCGAGACGACACGAGGAAGAAACCGUGAGAGGAACCAGACUCUAAAGGGAACCUCAUCUGGCUAGUGCUUUUUAUUAUUUCAGUACAGUAUCGAAAGUAGUACUGAGACGGUAUUAAACUUCUAAUACCUCACGCAGCUCUAAAUAUCAAAUCCACCUGGAGUUGUUGAACGCUGCAGGACGUAGCUGAGUGUCGUGUUGUACAGUAGAUGUGUCUGUGAUCACAGGAAACUGUAUCAAAUCUGAAACCUUGAAGUCUUUGUCAGGAGUCAGGGUCAGCCAGUUGGCCUCACUGUUCUCGUUUCAGCUUUUUAAUCCAUCUAGCUCCUCUUUUUUUUUUUCUUUUUUCUUCUUUCCUCCCUUAUUUCACUCGGUCUGGAGCAUGAUGCACACCAGGCAGAAGUUAAUGCAGCUGCUGGAGAAGUUUUACGAUCCCUGGGAGAGUCGGCGCAGCAGUCGUGGCUCUGAUCCAGCAGCGGCCACAUUCACGCUGCAUUAAAAAAUGUCGGAAUCGGGGACGAGGAGUCACGCGCUCGUUCUCAUUCGAGGCGAGUCCAGGACACGGUCCGGACGUAAACCUGAACCCCAGCUGUAGAGAACAUCCCUGCUGCUACGCCGCUAAACAUUUUACCGCUGAUGUCGAAGCAGCCAAGCGCAGGACGCUGAAGAAGGAAAAGCGUACAGCUGAAAAGUCUGAUACAGAAGAAAUGAGUGUGAAACCAGACCGGGCCAGUGGCCUUGGUAUAUCUUCUCCGGUGGAUGAGUAUGAUCAGGACACUUCAGAUGAAGAGGUGAGGUGACCUACACGUCUUUGUCCUUUUUUUUUUUUUUUUAUUAAGGGCGUUAAAUAAAAUAAUGCAAAACGUAUAUUAUGAAGUGUCGGAGAUGAAUGCAGAGCUUCAAGACAUUCCUGUUCUUUCCAGUGAAUGUGCGUGAAGCAGUCGUUGGACCGUCGUUAUUGGGCCGCGUCCCGUGGUUUACUUUUUUCCCUUUUCUUUCCCUCCCGCUUUCACCCUUUAUUCCGCCACCCGCUUUCCACGUGUCACGAAUGGUAAGACGUGUUUCAAAACACUUUAGAGUGUAAAAAAAAAAAAAAAAAAAAAAAUGAGACCUGACUGUCUAGUAGACUCAGAAAUGAUGACUGGACGUUAAUAUUAAGGCAACAUCACUACCAGGUUCACAAAAUAUCAUCCACGUCCACUAACUGCACGUCUGCUUGGAGAAAGAUUGCUUUUUCUUCAUUUGGACUCGUUUGAAAAAUAAUCACGACGACAUCAAGACUAUGUGAUAAUACUCGAGGAAUUACGCGACGAGCGAGAAAAGUGCUAACCCACUCAAAACCCUUCUGUUUUAAAUCCUCGACGGCAUUCCCGAUGAAGCGUAUGCACUCUCAGGAUCUUCUCCACCUGCUUCCUACGAGAGCCGCCCUGUAGGCCGUUCUCUAAUCGCCUUCGUCUUCUUAAUUCCAAAUGCAAACUGCAUUCCGUUUCAUUUCAUUGUUCCCGAUGGACCCGGUUUUAGAAGUACGGCUGCUUUAUGGGACAAAUGUCCGCAUGAUGAUCAAACUAGCUGUUGGGGUUUUUUUUGGACAAAACAUCAUAUGAGGUGAAGGAGAGGAAAGCAGGGGAUGGAGGUUACUGGGCGGCUGCAACUCCAACAACUUUCAGAUGUUCAGACCACUCUCUACCUGAAGUUCUAUAAAGUCGAUUGCGUUUUCUCUCCCCCUUUCGUGUACCCCCCCCCCCCUACAUUAAGAGGCCUCCG
ensembl:lncRNA